rnacentral:rRNA from 1 species
UACGGGGGGAGCAAGCGUUGUUCGGAUUUACUGGGCGUAAAGGGCGCGUAGGCGGCCACCGCAAGUCGACUGUGAAAUCUCCGGGCUUAACUCGGAAAGGUCAGCCGAUACUGCGGGGCUAGAGUGCAGAAGGGGCAACUGGAAUUCUCGGUGUAGCGGUGAAAUGCGUAGAUAUCGAGAGGAACUCCUGCGGCGAAGGCGGGUUGCUGGGCUGACACUGACGCUGAUUGUGCGAAAGCUAGGGGAGCGAACGGG